AGUGCUCCUGCUAAAGGUCUGAAAACCUGUCUAAGUGAUCUGCAAGAGCACCUAUCUGAGCACUAGAAGUGCUGGCAAUGUAUGAAGAUGAAGCACCAAGAGAGGGGGCAAAAGCACGUGUCAGGUUAGGUAAAUCUCGAGGUCGUAGCUCUGGUACGUCCACAGCUGGGUCUUAUGGUGCUUUAGCCCUAGCCUCCCUAACCUCCCACAGGAUCCGACUGACUAAUUUGUACUCAACAUCGAGGGGCC
rnacentral:lncRNA from 1 species